AUGGCUUUAGUUAGAAAAUAUGGAAAGCCAGACAUAUUCCUCUCAAUGACCUGCAACCCCAAAUGGGAAGAGAUCACACGUGAACUACAGUCUGGACAAACACCACAAGAUCGCCUAGAUAUUGUUGUUCGUGUUUUCAGGGCGAAGUUGGAAGAAAUGAAGAAGCAACUAUUUGAGAAGACCAUUCUUGGAAAGGUUAAGGCAUAUACAUAUGUCAUAGAGUUCCAAAAGUGGGGAUUA
rnacentral:rRNA from 1 species